rnacentral:tRNA from 1 species
GCCGCCUUAGCUCAAUGGUAGAGCACUCGCUUUGUAAGCGAAUGGUUCCCGGUUCAAGUCCGGGAGGCGGCUCAA